AUUGAACGCUGGCGGCAUGCCUUACACAUGCAAGUCGAACGGUAACAGGUCUUCGGAUGCUGACGAGUGGCGAACGGGUGAGUAAUACAUCGGAACGUGCCUAGUAGUGGGGGAUAACUACUCGAAAGAGUGGCUAAUACCGCAUGAGAUCUACGGAUGAAAGCAGGGGAUCGCAAGACCUUGUGCUACUAGAGCGGCCGAUGGCAGAUUAGGUAGUUGGUGGGAUAAAAGCUUACCAAGCCGACGAUCUGUAGCUGGUCUGAGAGGACGAUCACCCAGACUGGAACGGGGACACGGCACAUACUACUACGGGAGGCAGAAGUGGGGAAUGUUGGACAAUGGGCGCAAGCCUGAUCCAGCAAUGCCGCGUGCAGGAUGAAGGCCUUCGGGUUGUAAACUGCUUUUGUACGGAACGAAAAGCCCCGGGUUAAUACCCUGGGGUCAUGACGGUACCGUAAGAAUAAGCACCGGCUAACUACGUGCCAGCCGCCGCCGUAA
rnacentral:rRNA from 1 species